UACUCAACCAGAUCUGGCCCUAUCGGCAUCUCCUUCUCUGAAUAUAAGAUGGAAAGUUUUUAUUUCUCAAACAUGAACCGAGUCAUCUUUUAGUCUUCAUCAAUCGCUAUCAAGAAAGAGGAAGUAACAGAUGAGUACCACUGGAUAUCUUUGGAAUCAAACCCGGGGCCUUGCACAUGCUAGGCAAGCCCUCUACCACUGAGCCACAUCUCCAGUGUUCACACUGAAUAGCUUUGAACAGAUUCGCUGGAAUCUGGCACUGUGCAUGCCUUCAGAGAAGAAACAGAAGAUAUAGUACAUCGUGGAGAAGAGCUUAUUUACUAGUCUUCUAUAACUUUUGAAUUUUGUACCAGGCUCAUAUUUUGUGAAAAUAAUAAAUAAUAUUUAAAAACA